rnacentral:tRNA from 1 species
GGGGAUUUAGCUCAGCGGCAUAAGCGCCUGCCUUGUAAGCAGGCAGUCGUGAGAUCAAACCCUG